rnacentral:tRNA from 1 species
GAAAGAGGCAUGAAAGCAACAAGGACUGCUAAUCCCUGCCCCCGCGGUUAAAAUCCGCGGCUCAUUCA